UACGUAGGGGGCGAGCGUUGUCCGGAGUUACUGGGCGUAAAGGGCAUGCAGGCGGUCGGACGCGUUUCGGGUGACAGCGGGUGGCUUAACUACCCGAGUGGUCGAAAGACGGUUUGACUUGAGGACGCGAGAGGGACACGGAAUUCCGGGUGGAGUGGUGAAAUGCGUAGAGAUCCGGAGGAACACCGAAGGCGAAGGCAGUGUCCUGGCGCGUAACUGGCGCUGAGGUGCGAAAGCCAGGGGAGCGAACGGG
rnacentral:rRNA from 1 species